AAAUGUAGUAUACCAAACUUUGUCUGUAACUGUACAGAUCUAGUCAGAGUUAUCUCCCAUUUCUCAGUCAAUUAUUUGAAGAUAUUUAAUGUUAGUAAAAUAAAAUAACAUGAAUAAUUGUAAUUGGGCAUUUUGCAACUAAAUGGCAUUGACUUGGAUCGAUGUGUACAGUCACAUAACUAUACCAAUUUAAGCAGCAUAUGGUAUACUACAUAUAUAUUUUUGUUUCAUUUAUUUUUUGAAUUUGUUAUAAUUUUAUGAAGUGCAAUUAUGAUAAAUAUUAUAUUUAAGUUUAUAUUUAUUAUGUUACCUGUCUGUAUGGAAAAUCAUAGAAAGUAGUAAUAUUUAUUUGAGUAACUUUGUAAAUAAUCUAUAGAUGGAGACUAGAAUUGUGUACAAUAUAAAUCAUUAUGAAGUUUAAAAUUGUAAUUAUACAAGAAAAUUCACUUUUUACCAUAAAUAAACAGGUAUCAAAUUUCAUGAACAAAAUGUGCUGAGCAGUAUGUUUGUUUUUUUAAGCUUAAACUAAGAAGAGGCCUAUUACUUUUUUUCAUGUGAACUAUGAUAUUUCAUCUCUUUUGUUAAAAUUCAAACUAAUUGGUCUCUCUUGUCUAAUUUAGAUUUUUUUUAUAUAUAUAUAAAUAUUGCCUAGUAAUCUAAAAUAGUGUCAGUUAUCCUGCCUAAGAGUAGGGGUUCUCUCCAGCCACUCCAGAUUUAAAAACUCUAUACAGUGAAACCUGGCUUAACCAAACAUCUUUCAGUUUAUACAGGAUUCAAUUUAGCCAGGUUUCACUGUACUAUAAAAUAUUCAAAUGGUGCUGAAGGUCAAUUAAUCAAUAAAUCAACAUCGAAGGAAUUUUUAUGAUUUAAUCUAAAGCCAUGGAGAUCAGUUUGAAAAAUAUGCAACAACAAAGUGUUCAAACCUACAUAUCUCCGAACCUGUUUGUCAUUUACCUGGUUGACUUAGUUGAAAAGUUGCAUUAAAUAUGGUCAGAUGCUGGUCACCUUGAAAACUGUCAUCGAAACAAAGAACAAAUUUCAUGCACUUUUUGUAACAUCUUAAAACAUGACAAAGUCAAUUCAUUUGUUACUGUUUAAAACAUCUUUAAAUUAUACUAAAUAUUGUGCCAAGGCAGAGACAAAUAUUUUUCAUAGCAAAACAUUCCAUUAAAGAACAAAUAUAGUGCAUUAUUUAAAAAUACAAUUGUGUAUUCAUGUAUUGUACCUGUUUGGUUUUUUUUAACUUUAAGCUUAGCUUUAUUUUCAUAAAUUGUUGAAAUUUUCCAAUUUCAAAUUUGUCUUAAGUAAUUGCAAUUUGAAUGUUUUCCUUUUUAAUUUUGUUUUUCUUGAGAGUUUCUGUGAUAUGUACAUUUUUUGUGAUUUAAUCUUUGCGGCAAUCAUUUUUUUUUGUAAAUACCGCUUUUUGUGAACUCUGUGAUUUAAAUAUUUCCUCUUUAACUGUCAUUUCAAAUUGAUUAUAUGUAUUAAUACAGAAGGUAUGUGGUAUAUUUUACGCAAAAUAUUUGAGCUUUGUGAAUAUUUUUUUAUUGGAGAAAGAUUCUGUGUAUCACAGCGCUGGAAGAGCUUAAAGUUAUAAAGUUUAACAGUGUGAUAUUUUAGUAGGCCACAAGCCAGUUCAUAAUAUCUUUAUAAGAUCUCACUUGCCCUGAAGAUUUUGAAAAGAAUUGGAAAAUAUAUUACUGCUAUCAUGUGAUAUCACCAUCAACAUGUACAUCCAUUGUAUGAAUUCCAGAUUUAAAAUAUUUAUACUUGGAAUUCCCCUAAAUAGAAGUAUCACUAUCCUAACUAUCCUAUAUGUAUAUAUAAAUAUGUUACAUAGACCUGUAAAUUAUACCAUUAUUUCAUAUCAAAUUGUAUAUAUUAAAAGCCGACAGAUAUUCUGUUCUGUUUUCUCUUGCUUCUAUCCAUUUAAUCUUUUUUGUUUGUCUGUAUGUUAACUGGUUUGAUUUGUUGACCAGAUAUAGAAUGGUUGUUUUUCUUUGUGAUACACUGCCAUGUGAUCUUGCUGAUAUUACAUACCUAUAUGUAUAAUACAACCUGUGGAGAUUAAGUAUUUAAAUAAUUACCAAAUAUUCUUAGAUGUGUAAUGGUUUACAGAAAUUUUAUGUUUCUAUCUCAUGACACAGUUGUAUUUUCAAAAAAUGACAGCUUCUCAAGCCGCUUACCCCAAAUUUCUUGCAGUAUGAUAAUUUGAAUCUUAUUUGUGUACACAGUCUGAUUUUACUGGUUGUAUUUUUAUUUUACCCAGCUGUGUACAUGAUAAAUUCUCACUGGUUGUAUAUAUAUCAUUUUCAUGAGGUUGUUUACAUGGUCUAUUUUCCCAGGUUAUAGAUCAUGUGUAUCAGGUUGUGUACAUGUUUAAUCUUUACUGGUUGAGUAUCAUUUUUAUCUGUAAAUUAUUUAAAUAUGGAUGUAACAUUUCCUCUGAUUGGCUGGCAGUGUUUUGUGUAUCAGCUCAUAUAUACAUAAUUUGACAUGUCAUCCUGAUAUUAUCAACGUUUUUUCAUGAUUCUCUACAGCUUCAAAUGGAAUUUAGAAUUAAAUCAUAAGGAAUGACUGUGAUUUUUAUUUUGUCUUUUAGAAAUAACAUAAAAAAUGUGGUGCACACUUAAAAAAUACAACCUUAUGAGGGUUAUUCAGCGUGCACCACAUUAUCAUUUUAUUUCUUCAUAGACAGAAAAAAUAUUACAGUCGUUCCUUAAACGUGCAUGGUCAAUCUUUACUGGUUGUAUAUCUCUGCAGGUUGAGAAAAAGAAAAAAAAUAGUCAUUCCUUAAAUGUGCAUAGUCAAUCUUUACUGGUUGUAUAUCUCCGCAGGUUGUAUAUAUAGUUUGUAUAAAGGAUGUGUAUAUGGUCUAUCAUCACAGGUUUUUAGAUCAUAUGUAUAAAUGUUGUGUUCACUAUAUAACAUUGUACAAUGAUACAUGUAUAUUUAUAUAUAUAUAAACUGAAGAUUAAAAAGACAUUAUUCAUA